AUUUUAGUAGUAAUUUGAAUGUUAAAAGAAUGCAUGUAGAGAAUAAUGUAUUUCUUUUAUCUUUUGUUCUAUUAUUUAUUAUGUUUUAAAUAUAUAUUUGAUGACUUCUGAUCCAGUUACACACCAGGUGAGCAAAAGAUCAAAAUAUAAUUCCAUAGUUAUAUGAUAUCAUGGCACUUUUAUUCUAAUAUAGGCAGCGAGUUUAUCAUGUUACAUCACUUUCUUGCCAGAAAUAGAUCAAUUGUACCAUUUAACAUUAAUAUCAUUGUAGAUUUAGUUACCGAUACAGAAAAGUUGACUUAAAAUGACUAAGUAUGAAAGGUUUAAAAUGCUUACAAUGUUAACAUAUUGCUAUGAAUCAUAUAAAUUGUACAAAAUAGGGCAAAAUAUGAUUAUGCAAAAUUGAAAUAGCAGCAAAGGUGCUUUUUAUUGUCUGUUGACUAAUUAUUAAUAAUUUUGAUAUUUAUUUGAAAUUAAAUAUUUCCAUUUGUAAGUUUAUUUCCUUUUAAAAGAAAAUCUUUAAAAGGGAGAUAAAUUAUGUAGAAAAAAACAUUAUCAGAAUGAAUAAAGCUUCUAAAACUAUAAACUCAGGACAGCAAAAGAAAUAUACUUUUAUUUUGAUAUUUAAAUGGUAUUUACUUAAAGUAUCCCUAAAGGGACAUACAUUUUAGUAGUGCUACAAUAUCACAAAUCACUGGUAACAGUUUGUGUUUUGAUGGAGUGCUACUUGAUAAAUGAAAGUUUUUAUUUUAAACUUCCAUUUGAUUUUUUUUGAAAAAU
rnacentral:lncRNA from 1 species